rnacentral:rRNA from 1 species
CCUACGGGUGGCAGCAGUCGAGAAUCAUUCACAAUGGGGGAAACCCUGAUGGUGCGACGCCGCGUGCGGGAAGAAGUAUUUCGGUAUGUAAACUUCUAUCAGCAGGGAAGAAAAUGACGGUACCUGACUAAGAAGCCCCGUCUAACUACGUGCCAGCAGCCGCGGUAAUACGUAGGGGGCAAGCGUUAUCCGGAUUUACUGAGCGUAAAGGGAGCGUAGGCGGUUUAGCAAGUCAGAAGUGAAAGCCCGGGGCUCAACUCCGGGACUGCUUUUGAAACUGUUGAACUAGAGUGCAGGAGAGGUAAGUGGAAUUCUUAGUGUAGCGGUGAAAUGCGUAGAUAUUAGGAGGAACACCAGUGGCGAAGGCGGCUUACUGGACUGUAAAUGACGCUGAGGCUCGAAAGCGUGGGGAGCAAACAGGAUUAGAUACCCGAGUAGUC